rnacentral:rRNA from 1 species
UUCAGUGAAAUCGAGUAGGGCGGGACACGUGAUAUCCUGUCUGAAUAUGGGGGGACCAUCCUCCAAGGCUAAAUACUACUGACUGACCGAUAGUGAACCAGUACCGUGAGGGAAAGGCGAAAAGAACCCCUGUGAGGGGAGUGAAAUAGAACCUGAAACCGUGUACGUACAAGCAGUAGGAGCAGGCUUUGUCCUGUGACUGCGUACCUUUUGUAUAAUGGGUCAGCGACUUAUAUUCAGUGGCAAGGUUAACCAUCUAGGGGAGCCGUAGGGAAACCGAGUCUUAACUGGGCGUUCAGUCUCUGGAUAUAGACCCGAAACCAGGUGAUCUAGCCAUGGGCAGGUUGAAGGUUGAGUAACAUCAACUGGAGGACCGAACCGACUAAUGUUGAAAAAUUAGCGGAUGACUUGUGGCUAGGGGUGAAAGGCCAAUCAAACCUGGAGAUAGCUGGUUCUCCCCGAAAGCUAUUUAGGUAGCGCCUCGGACGAAUACUACUGGGGGUAGAGCACUGUUAAGGCUAGGGGGUCAUCCCGACUUACCAACCCUUUGCAAACUCCGAAUACCAGUAAGUACUAUCCGGGAGACACACGGCGGGUGCUAACGUCCGUCGUGGAGAGGGAAACAACCCAGACCGCCAGCUAAGGUCCCAAAUUACUACUAAGUGGGAAACGAUGUGGGAAGGCUCAGACAGCCAGGAUGUUGGCUUAGAAGCAGCCAUCAUUUAAAGAAAGCGUAAUAGCUCACUGGUCGAGUCGGCCUGCGCGGAAGAUGUAACGGGGCUAAGUAGUAAACCGAAGCUGCGGCAAUGUGCUUUUGCACAUUGGGUAGGGGAGCGUUCUGUAAGCGGUUGAAGGUGUGUGGUAACGCAUGCUGGACGUAUCAGAAGUGCGAAUGCUGACAUGAGUAACGAUAAAGGGGGUGAAAAACCUCCUCGCCGGAAGACCAAGGGUUCCUGUCCAACGUUAAUCGGGGCAGGGUAAGUCGACCCCUAAGGCGAGGCCGAAAGGCGUAGUCGAUGGGAAACGGGUUAAUAUUCCCGUACUUCUUACAAUUGCGAUGGGGGGACGGAGAAGGCUAGGUGGGCCUGGCGACGGUUGUCCAGGUUCAAGUGCGUAGGCUUGAGAGUUAGGUAAAUCCGGCUCUUUUUAAGGCUGAGACACGACGUCGAGCAUCUACGGAUGUGAAGUCAUUGAUGCCAUGCUUCCAGGAAAAGCCUCUAAGCUUCAGAUUGUAAGGAAUCGUACCCCAAACCGACACAGGUGGUCGGGUAGAGAAUACCAAGGCGCUUGAGAGAACUCGGGUGAAGGAACUAGGCAAAAUGGUACCGUAACUUCGGGAGAAGGUACGCUCUCGACGGUGAAGUCCCUCGCGGAUGGAGCUAUUGAGAGUCGCAGAUACCAGGUGGCUGCAACUGUUUAUUAAAAACACAGCACUGUGCAAAAUCGUAAGAUGACGUAUACGGUGUGACGCCUGCCCGGUGCCGGAAGGUUAAUUGAUGGGGUUAGACUUCGGUCGAAGCUCUUGAUCGAAGCCCCGGUAAACGGCGGCCGUAACUAUAACGGUCCUAAGGUAGCGAAAUUCCUUGUCGGGUAAGUUCCGACCUGCACGAAUGGCGUAAUGAUGGCCACGCUGUCUCCACCCGAGACUCAGUGAAAUUGAAAUCGCUGUGAAGAUGCAGUGUACCCGCGGCUAGACGGAAAGACCCCGUGAACCUUUACUACAGCUUGGCACUGAACAUUGACCCUACAUGUGUAGGAUAGGUGGGAGGCUUUGAAGCACGUACGCCAGUAUGUGUGGAGCCGUCCUUGAAAUACCACCCUUGUAGUGUUGAUGUUCUAACGUCGACCCCUUAUCGGGGUUGCGGACAGUGCCUGGUGGGUAGUUUGACUGGGGCGGUCUCCUCCCAAAGAGUAACGGAGGAGCACGAAGGUGGGCUAAUCACGGUUGGACAUCGUGAGGUUAGUGCAAUGGCAUAAGCCCGCUUGACUGCGAGAAUGACAAUUCGAGCAGGUGCGAAAGCAGGUCAUAGUGAUCCGGUGGUUCUGAAUGGAAGGGCCAUCGCUCAACGGAUAAAAGGUACUCCGGGGAUAACAGGCUGAUACCGCCCAAGAGUUCAUAUCGACGGCGGUGUUUGGCACCUCGAUGUCGGCUCAUCACAUCCUGGGGCUGAAGUCGGUCCCAAGGGUAUGGCUGUUCGCCAUUUAAAGUGGUACGCGAGCUGGGUUUAGAACGUCGUGAGACAGUUCGGUCCCUAUCUGCCGUGGGCGUUGGAAGAUUGAAGGGGGCUGCUCCUAGUACGAGAGGACCGGAGUGGACGAACCUCUGGUGUUCGGGUUGUGUCGCCAGACGCAUUGCCCGGUAGCUAAGUUCGGAAUCGAUAACCGCUGAAAGCAUCUAAGCGGGAAGCGAGCCCUGAGAUGAGUCUUCCCUGAUACUUUAAGUAUCCUAAAGGGUUGUCGGAGACUACGACGUUGAUAGGUCAGGUGUGUAAGUGCUGUGAGGCAUUGAGCUAACUGAUACUAAUUGCCCGUGAGGCUUAACCAUACAACACCCAAGGGGUUU